GGGACGCCUUCAGCUAGGCUCAUCGCAUUUCUGAAGCCUGCAGAAAAUAAUCUGGCUGAUUGCAGUCCUGUUAUGGUAUCGAAAGAGGUCUGACUGCCGGCUUCUUCAGGUGCUUCCUAGACACACAGGGUACAUGCUGCUCUUCCCUGAACCACUUUGAUGCCAACUUGAGUCCCUGAAUAACGGUGAUGCAGCCUCAAACAGCGACAGCCUCCACGUGCUCUGGGAGUCUGCAUUCCUCAGCUCGGACCUACAGCACCAACUCUGGGCCAUCCUGCGAGCCGACGAACCCGACAAGGGCCAACAACCCUUGGCCGAAGCCUAGGCGGGGUCAAGCCCACCAAAUUGCAGGACACCCGAUAAAGUUAUAUGAAUGAAUGAAUGAAAGUGACCCCCAGGGAUUUACUGUAGCUUCAAAAUCUUCAGACUGACCAAUUUCGCAGAAAAGUUAGCUCAACUUUUUCAGAGUGACGAUAAAAUCACAAAACGUUUUCUGCA